GCCUUCGUGGCGCAAUUGGCUAGCGCGUCUGACUGUUAAUCAGGAGGUUGGUGGUUCAAGCCCACCCGGGGGCG
rfam:Absidia glauca strain CBS 101.48 genome assembly, contig: contig_9059